AAUGUCAAAUGUCUCAUCCUAUUUUUCUCUUAAAAAUUUGCUCCCCUUCAAGCAUAAUGGAGAAUGUACACGUAUCCAGAUCACUAGCAAGGCGAUGUGUUUUUCUGAAGUGACGUAGCUAACACUAACCGGUUGCUAGCUAGCAUUCUAAUUUCAAAAACAUUAAAUCAUGCAGACAGGAUUUGUUCUAAGCUCGAGCCUCAUUGUGAUUGUUGGUGUUGGCCCAAGAUUUGAAUUCUCAAAUGAUGUCAAUGUUUAACAUCUCAUUUUG
rnacentral:lncRNA from 1 species